CCUACGGGUGGCAGCAGUGAGGAAUAUUGGUCAAUGGACGGGAGACUGAACCAGCCAAGUCGCGUGAAGGAGGAAUGCACUGUGUGUUGUAAACUUCUUUUAUCAAGGAAUAAAACGAGGCACGUGUGCCUGUUUGCAUGUACUUUAUGAAUAAGGAUCGGCUAACUCCGUGCCAGCAGCCGCGGUAAUACGGAGGAUCCGAGCGUUAUCCGGAUUUAUUGGGUUUAAAGGGUGCGUAGAUGGGUUGUUAAGUCAGUUGUGAAAGUUUGCGGCUCAACCGUAAAAUUGCAAUUGAUACUGGCAGUCUUGAGUACAGUUGAGGUAGGCGGAAUGCGUGGUGUAGCGGUGAAAUGCUUAGAUAUCACGAAGAACCCCGAUUGCGAAGGCAGCUUACUAAACUGUGACUGACACUGAUGCUCGAAAGUGUGGGUAUCAAACAGGAUUAGAUACCCGGGUAGUC
rnacentral:rRNA from 1 species